CCUACGGGAGGCAGCAGUGGGGAAUAUUCGGCAAUGGACGAAACUCUGACCCAGCAACGCCGCGUGGAUGAUGAAGGUCUUCGGAUUGUAAAGUUCUUUUUUAAGGGAAGAAAAAGGUUACGGUACAUUGUGCAUGAGUCUCCGCUAUCUACGUGCCAGCAGCCGCGGUAAUACGUAGGAGGCAAGCGUUAUCCGGAUUGACUGGGCGUAAAGGGUGCGUAGGUGGUUUGAAAAGUUAGUAGCGCAACUCCGGAGCUUAACUUCGGAAGUACUUCUGAAACUGUGGGACUUGAGUGCAGGAGGGGAGAGCGGAAUUCCGUGUGUAGCGGUGGAAUGCGUAGAUAUUAGGAAGAACACCAGUGGCGAAGGCGGAUCGCUGGACUGUAACUGACACUGAGGCACGAAAGCGUGGGUAGCAAACAGGAUUAGAUACCCUAGUAGUC
rnacentral:rRNA from 1 species